AUGUUGGUGAGAGUACUGGAAUUCUCCAUGAAGUCAGAUCUCCAGCUUUCUGUUGUCCCAGUGCCCUGCUCUACCCAGCUAAAGUCAACGAGGAAUGAGGAGUCCCUAACCAAUGAAAAGGACAUUAUAGCAACAGACCAGUGGUGACCAAGAGAUGUGGUGGUAAUGAUUUUGGAAGUACAACAGCAGAAAUUAAGAAAAGCUGUGUGCUGUGAUCAUCCAUUUUGGAAAAGUCUUUUGAGUAUAUUUUGAGGAUGGCAGGCAC
rnacentral:lncRNA from 1 species